CCAGGAGCUGUACACCGUGCACUUUAAAGGAAUUCAUAUUAUCUGUUAUCCUUAAGCCCCUUCAAGUGUGUCAUCUUCUGGGCUUUUUUACAAGCUCAGACUGGGGUUGGGAAGCAGGGCUAUAUCCAUUUCUAGAUGCCCUAUGGAGGGAAUGGAGAUAAGGAGUUGAAAAUGGAGAAUGAGAACUAUUUGGUGCAUCUUGGGUUGAAUUGGAGGAUUGAAUCAAUGCUAGGAAUGAAGUCAGAGCCAGGUGAGGGACCAGAAGUCACUUCCAAAAUGACUAAAACAAGGAAGUAAAAUUAGAGGAUUAGAAGAUCACAUGUAUCCCAGAUAUAUGAUAGAAUGGCUAGAUAUGGAGUGGGUAAGAAACAAGGUCUAGUUAUUAGGGUGAAAGUAAAGGUGGGGUUUGGUUAUAUGACAUAUAGUAUAGGGUUGGUUUGGUAUUAACCGUAUGCCUUCUUUUUUGAAGAAGGCAUACAAUUAAAAAACAAAACAAAACAUGGCUACAUUGAACCAAUUAACUCUUGGCACCUUGUGACCAGUAAGAUGACCUUGAAUAGUCUGUUAAAAUCUAUGGCACUCGGUCUUCUCAUCUGUAAAAUUUAAGCUAUUGGCUCGGGUGAUCUCUGAAGUUCCCACUAGCUCUGUGAUACUACAUCAUUUAUUUUGCCUUAUUCAGCUUCCAUCUAUUCUCCAACAACCCCCAGGUCCUGCUCUAGGGCCCCAAACUGCACUGACGAGGUCCACUGCCGUCAGGCAAGGCCAGCUCUCCUUUCUUCCUCACAUUGUGGGUUGAAGUCACUGCAGACAUUUGGGGAGAAAUAAUACGUAUCCUUCUGGAAAGUGAACGACCCAAUUUCUCUAGAACAGAAUGUGACUGUAUUGUUUACAUUUUGUUUUAUUUUUGUUACCGGGCAAUCUGUAUUGAGCCCAUUGGAAUGAUCUAUGCCAGCUGGGUUUUGUGCCUCAUCACACUGGCAGAGAGAAGAGUAUGAAGCCUGCUUGGAGAAGUGAAGGAAGCUGAAAAGGAGGCAAAGAGUGAGGACAGAGAGACAAGAUGGAAGUGGGGGAGAAAAACAAGGAUGAGAGAAUGCCAGGUGGUGCUGAGAAGGAAACGAGAGACUUUUCUGCUUGUAAAGGGCACACGAUGGCAGAAUCCAGCUAUGCAGGGGCAUCUGGCUCCAGAAAUAAUAGGCUACUUGGCACCCACUUCUUCAAAACGGGACGGAGGAACAAAAUACCAAGAAGGAACCAGAUUCUGCCAGUUACAGAGUAUUGACAACACACUGUCACUCCGAAAAGGCACACUCAACUCCAGAAAAAUGCCAAAUGAAAGUUAAAGAGCCUAAGUGUUUCCAAGAUAAGAGAGAAGGAGCCUCCCGAGGGCUAUGUGAGGCCAAAGGAAAGAUCAUGGAGGAAAAGAAGAUUCUCUGUCUUCAAACACAAGAGAAUGGUUACUUUUACAGUGGUGCCCUCUAGUGCCAAUCGGAUUAGACUCACUUUCUAUGUUUGCCAAAAUACAGACCACACAAGAGAAGCAAAAUUUGGAGAGUUUACAAUGUUGGUAAUUUUUCCUGCAUUUUCUUUAGCGUAGGAGAGAAUGAAGCAUGUUUCUUUACCAUGAUUCACAAGACCCUUUGUGAAAUGCCCUCCACCCCCACCCCCAGCUUUUCAGCUUCAUCUCCACCACUUUCCCGCCAGAACACUUAACUUCAGUUAUUCGGAACAACUUGCAUUCCUGCUUAGUAAGCCAUCCGCCCCUACCCACCCAUUCCCAUCCUCCUGUCCGCUUAAAUAAUUUAUCCUCCUUAUUCUAGUAUCAGCUGAAGCAUUAUCUCUUCACCUAGGUUUUCCUGACUCCCCAGAAGAUUGAGGCAGCCCCUCCCUCCUCCCUCCUCUGCUCCUCCCCUUGUCCCUCUAGCAUGUCACUCUUUUGUCCCCACCCGGCAUCUUGACUGUGAGUGAAAAUAGUUCAAAAACCUUCUCCAAUGGAUGUUUAUAUCUCCCAUGCCUCAAACAGUGCCUCGCACAAGUAACCACUCAAUGUAAAAAAAUCUGUGUAAGGAUGGCUUGAUUGAUAAUAGGAAGAACUGGGCCCGGCGCGGUGGCUCAAGCCUGUAAUCCCAGCACUUUGGGAGGCCGAGGCGGGUGGAUCACGAGGUCAAGAGAUCGAGACCAUCCUGGUCAACAUGGUGAAACCCCGUCUCUACUAAAAAUACAAAAAAAUUAGCUGGGCAUGGUGGCGCGUGCCUGUAAUCCCUGCUACUCAGGAGGCUGAGGCAGGAGAAUUGCAUGAACCCAGGAGGCGGAGGUUGCGGUGAGCAGAGAUCAUGCCAUUGCACCCCAGCCUGGGUAACAAGAGCGAAACUCUGUCUCAAAAAAAAAAAGAUAAUAGGAAGAACUGUAGUGUAGGAAUCAGGAGUUUCUGGUGAAUUAACCAGCUAAGUGGUCACUAAUGGUUCGACUACCCUCUCUGGGUUUCUGUCUUCUUAUCUGUAAAUAAACUAUGUCUAAUACCUGCCCCAAAUCCAGUGAUUCUUAACCCAAAAUGCCUUAUGACAAGCCAGGUCAACUUCAGAUGUUGUUUUAAUUCUUUAAAGUUUGCUUAUAAAAAGCAAAUUCAGGUGUCUUUGAAAUUAUCUUAUUUGCAGGUCUAUUAUUUAAAAAGUUUUAAAAGCUUGCUAAAUUACAUGGAGACAUUUAAAUUAAGCUAAUACGAAACAAGAUUUUUUUUAGGCAAACUCCUAUUUCUCCUAUUAAAUUAUACAAAGAAAGGUCCAACUUGUAGCCCGAAACUUCAUUAAGAAACUAUGAAUUCUAAUUCUGGCUCUCACUGAUACAGAACUGGUCAACUCACUUUUUAAGUACCUCCACUUCUGCUUUUCCCAGCUGAAAAAGUGUUAAGAAUGUAAGCCUUUAACAGUGGGAAUUGCUGAAAAAAAGUAUCACUAAAAGCCUUUCACAUCUUUGAGGUAACAAUAAAGGUGAUAUGAAUCUUGGAAGAACCAAGUUUCAAUGGUUUCAGUGAGGUUUCUCACACCGUAUAGGCCAGCUUUUACUGCCUUUGUUCUGCAGCUGAAGUUCAGGUAAGAGUGGAAUCCAUCCUAACACCCAGAUACAUAAGACCUAACAAGACAGAAAAUUAAUAAGGAUAGCAAGGACUCGAACUCAGAUCCGGAACAAGUAAACUUAAUAAAUAUUUAUAGAGCUCUCCACUUCAAAUACACAAAAUAUACAUUCUUGUCAAUACCACAUCACACCUACCCAUAGGUUUAUAUGAAACAUUGAUUGGCCAUUAUUAAUACCCAAUUUUUUUCAGAAUAAAGCAACAUUUCCCUUCUCUCUCCCUCUUUCUUCCUCUCCUUCACUCCUUUUUUUCUUUUCUUCUCUCAAAAAAAAAAGAGUGGAAUCCUGACAAUUUAAGUGGAUAUCUCAAUCUAAUAUCCAAACAGGCAGAAGCACUGAAUUAUAUACCAUGUGUCAUGAAUAUUCUUAUAGGGCAUUCACUGCUUUUCCUUUUCUAGAGAGAGUGUUUUGCUAAUCUGGAAUGGGUCAUUUAGAUAUGUACAGAAUAUAUAAUUUAAGUAUAGAAAAGUACAUAUGUGCAAAUUUGAUUCCCCCCAAUCCUUUCUCAGGAGCCAAGAAAUCCAUAAAAAAGCUCAAACACAAAAAUCUAUUAACUCACAUUUUGUAUUUCUCAAAUCCUGAUAUCCCUUCUAUGAAUAUAUAAACUAUAUACUCAUAGGAUAUUGAGCUGGAAGACAUCUGAUUGAUCAUCUGAUCCAACUUUCUCAUAAUACAGAUGAUAAAAUCAAGGCCCAAAGAGGAAAGUAAAUUAGAUGAGGAGUGGGUAGGUCUAACGUUUUUUCUGGCAUCUUGAAAACAAAAUCAUCUGCAUUUCAUGUGUGUAAAUAGACCUAACCCAGUGAUGAGAAAACAGAGGCUACUAAACAAACUUAAUUGAAGGCAAAGUUGACUGCCAAAUGGAGCUUAGUAGCUAUAUCUGUAUUUACAGAGUCAUUCAUGUAGGCAGUUAUUUCAUAAGGCUAAAAAAUUCAAUCUAAGAAAUAAAGGGGAAAAUCUUAAUUAUUUCCCAAAAGCCUUUCUCUUGCAAUAAAAGAGAUCCAAUUUAAUUGGGUUAAAUGGUGAAUAUUCCAGCUCUGUUUCACCUCCAGUCCACAUCACUGUAACUUUGUCUUAUAAAAGUAGACGUUUGACUUGCCUCACCACUACCAACACCACCACCACCACCCCCCAAUCCCUCAGUCAAAAUUCCAAACAGUAUGGUAGAUGAGUUUUAAAUGGCUACUAGUCAAUGUCUCUUUUUCAAAAGCUGCUGUACAACGUUCUCUCUCAAUCACUGUCUUUGUCUCUCUCAAACACACACACAAACAUUGCUCCUACCACUGCCACCAACACUAUUUGGUAAACCAUCAGGUUCUACGGAAAACACAUACAACCCAUCUGUGCUAUCCUUCUCAUAAUAAAGUGUAAGUAAUAAAUAUACGAUUAAAUGUAAGGACCCAUUGUGCUGUCCCAGAUCCUAUAACAAUAUAAGAAAUUACAUUCGCUAAGUGUAAAUUUAAAAAAUUUAUAAUUAACAUCAAGUGAAGAAUUUCAAAUAUCUGUGCAAGAAAAAAAUCUAUAUUCAGAGUAGACAGGAGCAUAUUUCUUAAGCAAACAUUUCAAAUAUACCACCUAUGUCUUGCUUCCAUCUCUGUUCCAGGACUAUAGAAGCUAAUUCUCCCCUAGAGAUCACUCACCAUCAGGUUUAAGAUCCUAGAAACAAGCGCCCAGCUUUUCUUCUGUCCCAAAGUUGCUGGAUGACUUGUCAGAAAGGACCCCCUGUUUUGCUCAACAUCUCCUGGGUAUUGAUAGUCCAAGGUGACCCCAACCACCAGCAAGCUGUACAUCUGUGUUUCGCGUUUUGCUGUCUCCUGCUCAGAGCCCUUGUGCAAUCAGUUCGCCCUGAAUGGAGCCAUGUGUCCUGUGUUUUAUCAUUCCAUGGUGUAAGGAAAUAUGUAACACUGUGGUUUGAAAAAGCACUCUCAGGGCUCCCAGACUUGGUGAAUGCACUCAGCUGUUCUAUUUUCGGUUACUCUCUUUGUUUUCUUCUCAAAAGAGCCUAAUUCCGGUCAAUGUCCUGGGCAUCCUGCCAUGGACACCUUACUCUUCCCCCACACCCUCUCCCCAAAUUGCCUACUUUAAUUGCACCCUAAGAGUUCUGCAAGAAGACGUAAACGUGUGCUGUGAUGAAGAGAGGAUAAGUGUCCUAUCGUGCUCACUGGUCUGCAGCCCUGAGCAUGACACCGGCUACCCUUCUGGAAUUGGGAGACAGGAGCACACUCUGUGCUAUGGUAAUCACAACCACACACACUCUCACCAGCCUCCGUGCACUGAAAACUCUAUUUCCUGUAGGCAGACAAGCCCAGGCAUUUGCCAAGACUGCUCAUCUCCUUCUAGUUUAAUUGGAGGUUCUUAGUCUCAGACAAGACCAUCAGAAAUCAGAAAGGAGGUUCUUAGUCUCAGACAAGACCAUCAGAAAUUGUACUGCCUGACCUUUAUCGGGGAGAAACCUUUCUAACCCAAAACAACCAGCUGGCGAAACAAGAUUAUCAGACUAGCCCCAACAAAGGAACGUGAGGAUAAUAUAUAUUCAUUUUUCUCCAGCAGCAUCCUCUGCAGUGAAGAACAUCCUUGAAUAAGAAAAAAUAAUGUAAAAGCGAAAAGUGUGGAACAAGAAUAAAGUGAAGGGAAAAUGGGAAUAUUUUAAUUAAGUGGGGAAAAUACUAGAAAUCAUCUCCUACUACAUGAUGUAUUUAAUAAGGUGGGAAAAAGAUGAAAUGAUGUCUUUAAGUUGUGACAGGCAGAGAUAGAUUGUGAGAAGCAAUAUCUGAUUAAAUCAUUGGAGUGAAUGAGUGAACACAUAGGCAUACACAGGCACACGCACAUUGCUGCCCUUAAAUUUGAUACUUUCCACAUUCUUUAAAAACAAACUCACCUUGCAGGUCUGUAGAGUUUAUGAAUAUUAUGGGAAAGUAAAACUGGUCUCUUUCUUAUUUCCUUUUAAUAUUAAUUGCCUGAUCCAACACAUUACUAUCACAAUGGAUAGACCAGGUAUAUCAGUGACUUAAGCGUCAAAGUGACAGUUUAUAAAGGGAUAAUACCAGGAUUCUUGCAUUGCAAAGAAAAAAAGAUCUAGAAGCAGUGACUCUGCCCAACCUCCACUCUGCCCUACCACUGCCACUGCUGAAAAGAAGGAAGGAAAGGAGAGACAGAAGGGCGUUUAACCACACUUUACGAUUGCUGUGGGGAGGGGAAAAAAAACUCAACAAUUUUAGCAUAAGAUUAUGUCUAAGUGACUGUUUGCACUGUUGAAGCUGCCAUCAGCAUGAGCUGGUGGGAAAAUAGCACCCAGUGGUGCAUCUUACCU